AUGAACGCUAGCGACAGGCUUAACACAUGCAAGUCGAGGGGCAGCACAGGUAGCAAUACCGGGUGGCGACCGGCGCACGGGUGAGUAACGCGUAUGCAACUUGCCUAUCAGAGGGGGAUAACCCGGCGAAAGUCGGACUAAUACCGCAUGAAGCAGGGAUCCCGCAUGGGAAUAUUUGCUAAAGAUUCAUCGCUGAUAGAUAGGCAUGCGUUCCAUUAGGCAGUUGGCGGGGUAACGGCCCACCAAACCGACGAUGGAUAGGGGUUCUGAGAGGAAGGUCCCCCACAUUGGUACUGAGACACGGACCAAACUCCUACGGGAGGCAGCAGUGAGGAAUAUUGGUCAAUGGCCGAGAGGCUGAACCAGCCAAGUCGCGUGAGGGAUGAAGGUUCUAUGGAUCGUAAACCUCUUUUAUAAGGGAAUAAAGUGCGGGACGUGUCCCGUUUUGUAUGUACCUUAUGAAUAAGGAUCGGCUAACUCCGUGCCAGCAGCCGCGGUAAUACGGAGGAUCCGAGCGUUAUCCGGAUUUAUUGGGUUUAAAGGGUGCGUAGGCGGCCUUUUAAGUCAGCGGUGAAAGUCUGUGGCUCAACCAUAGAAUUGCCGUUGAAACUGGGAGGCUUGAGUAUGUUUGAGGCAGGCGGAAUGCGUGGUGUAGCGGUGAAAUGCUUAGAUAUCACGCAGAACCCCGAUUGCGAAGGCAGCCUGCCAAGCCAUUACUGACGCUGAUGCACGAAAGCGUGGGGAUCAAACAGGAUUAGAUACCCUGGUAGUCCACGCAGUAAACGAUGAUCACUAGCUGUUUGCGAUACACUGUAAGCGGCACAGCGAAAGCGUUAAGUGAUCCACCUGGGGAGUACGCCGGCAACGGUGAAACUCAAAGGAAUUGACGGGGGCCCGCACAAGCGGAGGAACAUGUGGUUUAAUUCGAUGAUACGCGAGGAACCUUACCCGGGUUUGAACGCAUUCGGACCGAGGUGGAAACACCUUUUCUAGCAAUAGCCGUUUGCGAGGUGCUGCAUGGUUGUCGUCAGCUCGUGCCGUGAGGUGUCGGCUUAAGUGCCAUAACGAGCGCAACCCUUGCCACUAGUUACUAACAGGUAAAGCUGAGGACUCUGGUGGGACUGCCAGCGUAAGCUGCGAGGAAGGCGGGGAUGACGUCAAAUCAGCACGGCCCUUACAUCCGGGGCGACACACGUGUUACAAUGGCGUGGACAAAGGGAGGCCACCUGGUGACAGGGAGCGAAUCCCCAAACCACGUCUCAGUUCGGAUCGGAGUCUGCAACCCGACUCCGUGAAGCUGGAUUCGCUAGUAAUCGCGCAUCAGCCAUGGCGCGGUGAAUACGUUCCCGGGCCUUGUACACACCGCCCGUCAAGCCAUGGGAGCCGGGGGUACCUGAAGUCCGUGACCGCGAGGAUCGGCCUAGGGUAAAACUGGUGACUGGGGCU
rnacentral:rRNA from 1 species